rnacentral:rRNA from 1 species
AUUGAACGCUGGCGGCAGGCCUAACACAUGCAAGUCGAACGAGCAGCGGACGGGUGAGUAAUUGCUGGGAAACUGCCUGACGGAGGGGUAAAACUACUGGAAACGUUGGCUAAUACCGCAUAACGUGCUAUGGGGCCAGAUGGGUUUAGCUAGUCGGUGGGGUAACGGCUAACCAAGGCGACGAUCCCUAGCUGGUCUGAGAGGAUGACCAGUCACACUGGGACUGAGACACGGUCCAGACUCCGACGGGAGGCAGCAGUGGGGAAUAUUGGACAAUGGGCGCAAGCCUGAUGCAGCCAUGCCGCGUGUAUGAAGAAGGCUUUCGGGUUGUAAAGUACUUUCAGUGGGGAGGCGUUACCCGCAGAAGAAGCACCGGCUAACUCCGUGCCAGCAGCCGCGGUAAUUC